rnacentral:rRNA from 1 species
UGGGGAAUAUUGCACAAUGGGCGCAAGCCUGAUGCAGCCAUGCCGCGUGUGUGAAGAAGGCCUUCGGGUUGUAAAGCACUUUCAGCGAGGAGGAAGGUGGUGAACUUAAUACGUUCAUCAAUUGACGUUACUCGCAGAAGAAGCACCGGCUAACUCCGUGCCAGCAGCCGCGGUAAUACGGAGGGUGCAAGCGUUAAUCGGAAUUACUGGGCGUAAAGCGCACGCAGGCGGUUUGUUAAGUCAGAUGUGAAAUCCCCGGGCUCAACCUGGGAACUGCAUUUGAAACUGGCAAGCUAGAGUCUCGUAGAGGGGGGUAGAAUUCCAGGUGGUAGCGGUGAAAUGCGUAGAGAUCUGGAGGAAUACCGGUGGCGAAGGCGG